rnacentral:rRNA from 1 species
UACGGAGGGUGCGAGCGUUGUCCGGAAUCACUGGGCGUAAAGGGCGCGUAGGCGGCCUGCUAAGUCGAACGUGAAAUCCCUGGGCUCAACCCAGGAACUGCGUCCGAUACUGGUUGGCUUGAAUCCGGGAGAGGGAUGUGGAAUUCCAGGUGUAGCGGUGAAAUGCGUAGAUAUCUGGAGGAACACCGGUGGCGAAGGCGGCAUCCUGGACCGGCAUUGACGCUGAGGCGCGAAAGCCAGGGGAGCAAACGGG